rfam:Vitis vinifera, whole genome shotgun sequence of line PN40024, unoriented chromosome 7, chr7
AGAACACACAUUAAUUAUCCCUAGGGCCAUGAGAUAAAUUAAAAACCUGUAAAAACAAGUUAGCACACCCUAGAAUGGUUCUAACACAAUUACUAACCUAUGGCUCUGAUACCAGUUGAAGGGAAAAACCA